rnacentral:rRNA from 1 species
AGGGUUUGAUUAUGGCUCAGGAUGAACGCUGGCGGCGUGCUUAACACAUGCAAGUCGAACGGGAAACCUAUUAUUGAAACUUCGGUCGAUUUAAUUUGUUUCUAGUGGCGGACGGGUGAGUAACGCGUGGGUAACCUGCCCUAUACAGGGGGAUAACAACCAGAAAUGGUUGCUAAUACCGCAUAAGCGCACAGGACCGCAUGGUCCGGUGUGAAAAACUCCGGUGGUAUAGGAUGGACCCGCGUUGGAUUAGCUAGUUGGCAGGGUAACGGCCUACCAAGGCGACGAUCCAUAGCCGGCCUGAGAGGGUGAACGGCCACAUUGGGACUGAGACACGGCCCAG